UGUUUCCCAGUAGAGAACACACGGACAAAUACUGUAGAUAUGGCUCAUAGUCUCUUGGUGGUAUCUGACAGUAAUGUAGGAACGUUUAUUAUUAUAAUUUCGGCUUGUCAGUUUGGAUAACACCACCAACAACAUUAGCUGUUAACUUUAUAUCAUUUAGAUGAGAUUUUAUUACAGUACAACUUAUCGACAUGACUUUCUAUUUGGACACGUAGACACCACAAGCAACACCAUCAGGCCAGCAGAGACGCAUCGUCCCUCCAUGUGUCUUGGGUCUACUUCUGGGUCUCCUCCCGGUGGGACGUGUCCAGAACCUCCGCCACUGGCUCGUGUCAAUGUGGAGAAGCAGCAGCUCUACUCUGAGUCCCUCCCGGAUGACCAAGCUUCACCCCGUCUCCUGUCUCUAAGGGAGAGUCCAGACCAGGGGCGGAGAUAUGGGUGGGGGUUGCCUCCCGGCCCCGAGAGGUGCCUGGGAGGGAGGAAUGGUUUCAAGUCACUUUAAUAUCUGAUUACAGAGAGAAAAAGCGCAGAGGAGGGUUGGACCGCAUCUCGACCAGUAAAUUGUGAGCUUGGCUGAAGCUCCCUCUUCAGCCUAACAAACCGGGACUGAGUCCACAUCACUACAGACCCAGCACAAUUGAUCAAUUAUCCCCUCCAUUUUCCCCCCUCAUUCAUGAACUGGAGAUACUUAAACUCAAGCGACUUCAGAUCAUUUAAGUAUCAGCAGAACUGAAGGUCAUCGGCAACUCAAGGAGAAUCGGUUUGUUCAUCACUAAGGCAGAAUAUUUUUCUGCUAACAGAGUAAAAAGAAACAUGAACACAAAUAGAAUGAAGAACAAAAAGACAUUUAAAAGUUUUAAGAUUCACCUGUUGUUACUUAAUGGAGAAGAGUCAAAGUGAAUGGGUGAUAAUGAGUCAAUUAUAUUAAUUGCAUAUCAUGUGCCUGGAUCAAAUGUAGUCAUAUUCAAUAAAUUAGAAUAUGGAUUCUGAUUAAUCUCAUUUGUAAGAUUAAACAUAUUUGUCAUUAGUCCCACAAUUCUGCAUUAACAUUUAUUUUAUUGGUCUGAUGUAACAUUCUAAUCUUGAAUGUCAUGUUUCCAUUAGUUUUAAAAAGUAAAUCAUCAUAAUUAGCUGAAAUUGACCUUUAAAUUAAAUCAUUAAACUUGUGUUUUACUUGUGAGCUGAGUUACUGAAAUACAUUUUCUUAAUAUUCUAAUUUAUUGAAUAAGACUGUCAUUCUACAUUGAGUUAUGCAAGAAAUGUACACUAGAUGGCACUAUUGCUUUGAGAAAUGUAUGCCACAGGACGUGCAAAGCACAAGAAUGACACGACAAAGAAACUUAUGUGAUAUCUUCUCUCCCGAGACUUGAGAUCCAACAUUUAAUAAGAAUAUUAAUAUUGGCUCCAUACGUGCUUCUAAAAUUUCUAAUUAAUUAAACAAAAAAGAAAAUUCAACAUCAGCUUUAUACAUUAUGCUUGAAAUGCUCUCUAGUGUAUUUACACCAAAAUAUACAAACAUGAACCAUAAGGAGGUGCUAGAAGACUUUUAGUAGAAGUCUGGGGAUUCUGAAUCAAUGACUGAUGAAAGCAUUACAGUCAUGGGCAUUGCAUUCUAGGCUUUUACACAUUUUACACACAUCCCAAGUUUUAUUGUUGUACUUGUUUUGGUUUUUUUUAACAAACUUUUCUGUUUUGGCUGUUUAAUGACUAUUGAUACAAUGUAGUCUGUGAUGCGUGAAACUUUGAACACCUGAUAGUAAACAGAAAAUAAUUACACAAUGA